UUAGAUGGCAACAUCUAGAUGCUCUAUAAUUCACUUGAAUUCAUGCCUCACACAUUGGAUCCAGCUAAUCUUGGAAUGGAUUUGGCUUACACAUUUGAAAAGGAAUGUCCCAGGUCUUACUGCUCAGUUCUUGAGUAAUCAUUCGGAUUUGAGAUUGCACAUGUCAUGAUGGGAACAGAAGGCCAUGUUCAUCUCCACAUUAUUACUCCUUUGGAAAAAGAUUUUAAAAAAUAGACUGAAGAAUUAAAGGAUUUCUUUGGAGAAAUAGAGUCUGUGUUGCUCUGAACUAGAAUACCUGCUUAAUACCCUUGAGGUAACUGUUNNNNNNNNNNUUAUUAUUAUUAUUAUUAUUAUUAUUAUUAUUAUUAUUAUUAUUAUUAUU
rnacentral:lncRNA from 1 species